UUUUUCUUUCUCGACCUCUUAGCAACCGACAUUUUCUCCCCAACUUUAAUGCAAUCAAUCAAUGUAAUAUGAAUGUCUCAAACUUUCUAAGGCAGGGGUAAAAAUUCAAACCAUAAUUUAUGGUUUAGGGUUCAAAAAAAAGUUUAAAAUCCAAUCUAAAAUAAACAAUGAACUAAUUAGUUAUGUACAAGUUCCAAAAGUUAACAUUAAAAUGGAUCCUGACACAAGGUUCAAAGGGGGUAAGAAAAUUCUCACUCACUCACAAGGUAGGCUACU
rnacentral:lncRNA from 1 species